rnacentral:rRNA from 1 species
CGCAAGCCUGACGGAGCAACGCCGCGUGUGGGAAGAAGGCUCUUGGGCUGUCAACCACUUUUCUCAGGGAAGAAGUCCUGACGGUACCUGAGGAAUCAGCCUCGGCUAACUCCGUGCCAGCAGCCGCGGUAAUACGGAGGAGGCAAGCGUUAUCCGGAAUUAUUGGGCGUAAAGCGUCCGCAGGGGGCACAUCAAGUUUGCUGUUAAAGGCUGGAGCUUAACUCCGGUAGAGCAGUGGAAACUGGUGUGCUAGAGGGCGACAGGGGUAGAGGGAAUUCCCAGUGUAGCGGUGAAAUGCGUAGAGAUUGGGAAGAACACCGGUGGCGAAAGCGCUCUACUGGGUCGCACCUGACCCUCAGGGACGAAGGCUAAGGUAGCG